GAUGAACGCUGGCGGCAUGCCUAAUACACGCAAGUCGAGCGAACAGAUGAAGUGCUUGCACUUCUGACGUUAGCGGCGAACGGGUGAGUAACACGUAAGGAAUCUACCUAUAAGCGGGGGAUAACAUUCGGAAACGGGUGCUAAUACCGCAUAAUAUCUUCUUCCGCAUGGAAGAAGAUUGAAAGACGGCCCUGCUGUCACUUAUAGAUGACCUUGCGGUGCAUUAGUUAGUUGGUGGGGUAACGGCCUACCAAGACGAUGAUGCAUAGCCGACCUGAGAGGGUGAUCGGCCACAUUGGGACUGAGACACGGCCCAAACUCCUACGGGAGGCAGCAGUAGGGAAUCUUCCGCGAUGGGCGAAAGCCUGACGGAGCAAUGCCGCGUGAGUGAAGAAGGCCUUCGGGUCGUAAAACUCUGUUAUAAGAGAAGAACAAAUUGUAGAGUAACUGCUACAGUCUUGACGGUAUCUUAUCAGAAAGCCACGGCUAACUACGUGCCAGCCGCCGCCGUAA
rnacentral:rRNA from 1 species